GUUAAAUGGAAAAUAUUAUUAAACUACAAGUAAUAAUAAGUGAAAUUGGAUUAUUAUUUUGUAUGAAAAGUUUAUUUGAGUUGAAGCUAAAAAAAUCUAAUAAAAAACUAGGAUUAGAUACCCUACUAUUUAGAAAGAAAAAUAUUAACUUAAUUAUUAAAAGAUAAGUUCUUAAAAUUUAAAAAAUUUGGCGGUAAUUUAAUCUUUUUAGAGGAACCUGUUUUUAAAUCGAUAAUCCACGUAAAAUUUUACUUAUUCUAGUAUAUUUACUAGUUUGUAUACCGUCAUUAUCAGAUAGUUUUAAAAGAAUCUAUUAAAAAUAAUCUUUUAUAAAAAUUAGAUCAUGGUGCAGCCUAUGAAUAAGUUAAAAUGGGUUACAAUAAUUUUUUUUAUGGAUUAAUAAAUGAAUAUUUGUUAUGAAAAGGAUUUAAUUGUACUUAAAUUUUAAUAAGUUUUAAGGAAAUAAGCUCUAAAUUAUGUACAUAUCGCCCGUCGCUUUCAUUUAUAAAU
rnacentral:rRNA from 1 species